AAUACCGCUAUAGCAUGGAUAAUAUGAUACGAAACUCUUCUCUUUUGCUUGUUGAGAGAGCCCAUGAACUCAUUUUUGAUGUUGGCAACAAAGCCAGAUCAUGGGCUACUGAACAGCUGACAGUCAAAAUGACGAGCUACCACUAAGAAUCCCGCAGAAAUAAAUGAUUAAAUGUGGCACCACUGCCAAAUGUUAUAAAAAAUGCGGACUUUGACAGCUCUCUCACGAAUGAAAGAGUUUCGUAUCAUGUUAUCCAUGGCUAUAGGCAGAAGUUGUCAAAAUGUAUUAAAAAGAUAAAGAAAGCGAAAUUAAUUCAAAUCAAAAAAAUUUUAUAAAUAUAGUAUAAGCGAAAUGUCACCGCGUACAAAUUUCAUAAAUAAUACACUACCACAACAACAAAGCACUGUUAUCUUAAAUCUCUUGCCAAACCCACACUACCACCCCCAUUCCACCUAAAGCACACGAAUCAAAUGCCAUUGUUUGUUUGUUUACCUUUACGGCCGCGACAUGUCGCUGCGUGUUUGCCUAAACAUUUGCUAUGGGUGCAUUGCGCGUCUCCGCAUCCCGAUUCGACUUAUCCUACACGUACUGAUAGUGCGCCAACUCGGUGCCACCACCUUCACCAUCGGCAUUGCCACGCAACAGCGGCUCUUGCUCCACCGUUGUACGUCCCACCUGCAUAUCCAUAUCGUAGUAAUUCAUCCAAUCGAUGUGACGCGGUUGCACCAAACCAAAACAUUUGCAUUCCAAGAAAUCGACCAAGUUGUUGAGUGGUCCACGCGUGAAAGGACUGUGACCACCUUUCGCUUGAAAGUGUCGAUAACGUCCACGAUUCAUGCGCUCAUUGGUGGUCAUACCGAGGCAAACGACUUGAUAUGUCUGGCAAAUUGUGAGCAGCACAACCCACGAGAGAUGUAACAAUGCAUUCGCCAUAACCCAACCAACCCAGGCAUUACAAUUGGCUAUGUCCAUAAUUGCUUUCUGGAAAUCCGACAGCGGUACGAGCGUAAAGUGUACAUUACAUUGAUAGAUGUAAUAGCAAGCGCCACCGUACAACAUCCAACAGCACAUUAUGAGUAACAUCCAGAGGAAACCCAUGAAGUAGGCGUGAUUCUUGAGACCAAUACAAUUGCCCACCCAGGGGCAGUGA